ensembl:misc_RNA Metazoa_SRP Metazoan signal recognition particle RNA
GCCGGGCGCGGUGGCACAUGCCUGUAGUCCCAGCUACUUGGGAGGCUGAGGUGGGAGGAUCACUUGAGCCCAGGAGUUGUGGGCUGUAGUGCGCUAUGCCCAUCGGGUGUCCGCACUAAGUUUGGCAUCAAUAUGGUGACCUCCCAGGAGUGGGGGACCAUCAGGUUGCCUAAGGAGGGGUGAACAGGCCCAAGUCGGAAACGGAGCAGGUCAAAAUCCUCUGCUGAUCAGUAGUGGGAUCACGCCUGUGAAUAGCCACUGCACUCCAGCCUGGGCAACAUAGCAAGAACUUGUCUCUA